GCCUGGCUGGCUUAGUCGGUAGAGCAUGAAACUCUUGAUCUCCAGGUUGUGAGUUCAAGUCCCACGUUAGGUG